UGGGAAUCUGCCCUCAGGUACGGAAUAACUCAGGGAAACUUGAGCUAAUACCGCAUAAUGUCUUCGGACCAAAGAUUUAUCGCCUGGGGAUGAGCCCGCGUAGGAUUAGCUUGUUGGUGAGGUAAAAGCUCACCAAGGCGACGAUCCUUAGCUGGUCUGAGAGGAUGAUCAGCCACACUGGGACUGAGACACGGCCCAGACUCCGUACGGGAGGCAG
rnacentral:rRNA from 1 species